GACGAACGCUGGCGGCGUGCUUAACACAUGCAAGUCGAACGCUGAAGCUCAGCUUGCUGGGUGGAUGAGUGGCGAACGGGUGAGUAACACGUGAGUAACCUGCCCUCUUCUUUGGGAUAACGCCCGGAAACGGGUGCUAAUACUGGAUAUUCACUGAUUCUCGCAUGGGGGUUGGUGGAAAGGUUUUUUCUGGUGGGGGAUGGGCUCGCGGCCUAUCAGCUUGUUGGUGGGGUGAUGGCCUACCAAGGCUUUGACGGGUAGCCGGCCUGAGAGGGUGACCGGUCACAUUGGGACUGAGAUACGGCCCAGACUCCUACGGGAGGCAGCAGUGGGGAAUAUUGCACAAUGGGCGAAAGCCUGAUGCAGCGACGCCGCGUGAGGGAUGGAGGCCUUCGGGUUGUAAACCUCUUUCGCUCAUGGUCAAGCCGCAGCUUUGGGUUGUGGUGAGGGUAGUGGGUAAAGAAGCGCCGGCUAACUACGUGC
rnacentral:rRNA from 1 species